AUUGAUCAUGACUCGCAGAUGACCCCUAUUGAUUUUGAGGUUACUAGGUCAAAGGUCAAGGUCACGGUGACCCGAAAUAGUAAAAUGGUUUCCGGAUGAUAACUCAAGAAUGCAUACGCCUAGGAUCAUGAAACUUCAUGGGUAGAUUGAUCAUGACUCGCAGAUGACCCCUAUUGAUUUUGAGGUCACUAGGUCAAAGGUCAAGGUCACAGUGAUCCAAAAUAGUAAAAUGGUUUUCGGAUGAUAACUCAAGAACGCAUAUGCCUAGGAUCAUGAAACUUCACAGGUAGAUUGAUCAUGACUCGCAGAUGACCCCUAUUGAUUUUGAGGUCACAAGGUCAAGGUCACGGUGAC